GAUGAACGCUAGCGACAGGCUUAACACAUGCAAGUCGAGGGGCAGCAUAAAAGUAGCAAUACUUUGGUGGCGACCGGCGCACGGGUGAGUAACGCGUAUGCAACCUACCUAUCAGAGGGGAAUAACCCGGCGAAAGUCGGACUAAUACCGCAUAAAACAGGGGCACCGCAUGGUGAUAUUUGUUAAAGAAAUUCGCUGAUAGAUGGGCAUGCGUUCCAUUAGGUAGUUGGUGAGGUAACGGCUCACCAAGCCGACGAUGGAUAGGGGAACUGAGAGGUUGGUCCCCCACACUGGGACUGAGACACGGACCAGACUCCUACGGGAGGCAGCAGUGAGGAAUAUUGGUCAAUGGGCGGGAGCCUGAACCAGCCAAGUCGCGUGAAGGAAGAAGGAUCUAUGGUUCGUAAACUUCUUUUGCAGGGGAAUGAAGUGCGGGACGUGUCCUGUUUUGUAUGUACCCUGAGAAUAAGGAUCGGCUAACUCCGUGCCAGCCGCCGCAGUAA
rnacentral:rRNA from 1 species